rnacentral:rRNA from 1 species
UACGAAGGUGGCAAGCGUUGUUCGGAUUUACUGGGCGUAAAGGGAGCGUAGGUGGUUAGGUAAGCCCUCCGGGAAAUCUUCAGGCUUAACCUGAAAAGGUCGGGGGGGACUGCCUGGCUAGAGGACGGGAGAGGAGCGCGGAAUUCCCGGUGUAGCGGUGAAAUGCGUAGAUAUCAGGAGGAAUACCGAUGGCGAAGGCAGGUCUCUGGGCUGACACUGACGCUCAUGCACGAAAGCGUGGGGAGCAAACAGG